CCUACGGGAGGCAGCAGUGGGGAAUAUUGCACAAUGGGCGAAAGCCUGAUGCAGCGACGCCGCGUGAGGGACGAAGGCCUUCGGGUUGUAAACCUCUUUCAGCAGGGAAGAAGCGAAAGUGACGGUACCUGCAGAAGAAGCGCCGGCUAACUACGUGCCGGCAGCCGCGGUAAUACGUAGGGCGCAAGCGUUAUCCGGAAUUAUUGGGCGUAAAGAGCUCGUAGGCGGUUUGUCGCGUCUGCUGUGAAAGCCCGGGGCUCAACCCCGGGUCUGCAGUGGGUACGGGCAGACUAGAGUGCAGUAGGGGAGACUGGAAUUCCUGGUGUAGCGGUGAAAUGCGCAGAUAUCAGGAGGAACACCGAUGGCGAAGGCAGGUCUCUGGGCUGUAACUGACGCUGAGGAGCGAAAGCAUGGGGAGCGAACAGGAUUAGAUACCCUGGUAGUCCAUGCCGUAAACGUUGGGCACUAGGUGUGGGGGACAUUCCACGUUUUCCGCGCCGUAGCUAACGCAUUAAGUGCCCGCCUGGGGAGACGCGCGAGACAACUACANAGAGUAGACGCGUGAGACGUCGCCGACGGACGACGACGAGGGAGUUAGG
rnacentral:rRNA from 1 species